rnacentral:rRNA from 1 species
UACGUAGGGUGCAGGCGUUAAUCGGAAUUACUGGGCGUAAAGGGCGCGUAGGCGGCCCGUCAAGUCCCGUGUGAAAGCCCCCGGCUCAACCGGGGAACGGCGCGGGAAACUAGCAGGCUUGAGUUCGGGAGAGGGAAGCGGAAUUCCGGGUGUAGCGGUGAAAUGCGCAGAUAUCCGGAGGAACACCGGUGGCGAAGGCGGCUUCCUGGACCGACACUGACGCUGAGGCGCGAAAGCUAGGGGAGCAAACGGG